UAAUACGGAGGGUGCGAGCGUUGUCCGGAAUCACUGGGCGUAAAGGGCGCGUAGGCGGCCUGGUAAGUAGGGGGUGAAAUCCUGCGGCUUAACCGCAGGGCUGCCUUCUAAACUGUCAGGCUUGAGCACAGUAGAGGCAGGUGGAAUUCCCGGUGUAGCGGUGGAAUGCGUAGAGAUCGGGAAGAACAUCAGUGGCGAAGGCGGCCUGCUGGGCUGUUGCUGACGCUGAGGCGCGACAGCGUGGGGAGCAAACAGGAUUAGAUACCCUGGUAGUCCACGCCGUAAACGAUGGGCACUAGGUGUGGGGGGUGUCGACUCCCUCCGUGCCGAAGCUAACGCAUUAAGUGCCCCGCCUGGGGAGUACGGCCGCAAGGCUA
rnacentral:rRNA from 1 species